rnacentral:misc_RNA from 1 species
GAUGAAGAACGCAGCGAAAUGCGAUAAGUAAUGUGAAUUGCAGAAUUCAGUGAAUCAUCGAAUCUUUGAACGCACAUUGCGCCCGCCAGUAUUCUGGCGGGCAUGCCUGUUCGAGCGUCAUUUCAACCAUCAAGCCCCCGGCUUGUGUUGGGGACCUGCGGCUGCCGCAGGCCCUGAAAGCAGUGGCGGGCUCGCUGUCACACCGAGCGUAGUAGCAUACAUCUCGCUCUGGGCGUGCUGCGGGUUCCGGCCGUUAAACCACCUUCAUAACCCAAGGUUGACCUCGGAUCAGGUAGGAAGACCCGCUGAACUUAAGCAUAUCAAUAAGCGGAGGA